CGCCCUUCCUGCCAAACAGGUGUUGGGGGUGCAGCACAGCCAGAGCUUUAGGUGGUCUCUGCUCAGAUUUUGGUAUGGAGCAGCCAGUGUGCAAGGAAGGAAUUGCCUGUGUCUGUGCCAAUGUGCAUUGCUCUGUGGAAGAGCUCCUAUAGGAUCAGCUCCCUCCCUGCUCCAGACAAGACAGUAACUGGGAAAGAUGGCAGGAAGGGUUUGGUCACACAGGCAAGGUCCAUGGCUUGAGAAGUGUUGGAGAUUUGUGUUCCAGGUAACAUCAGACUACGAGCAGCGAAUUACUUGUGAAGGGUACACGUGAAAGGAGGAGAAUGACCUGGCUGCUGCAAGCCUUUGUUUGAACUGCAGCUGUGUGACCUGCUGAUGCAUUGGAUCAGAAGCCAAUGCCCUGUUUGUGCUGGCUGCUGUACAGUGGAGGUAGACACAAGGUUCUCCCUGGCCUCAGAGACCUGCAGUAUAGCAACCAGAGGAGAGUGUUACCUGAAGCUGUUCCUGUAUUAUACAGCUCCUUCCUAUUGGUCUCUUUCUUUUUACACUUUUAUAACAAGCUUUUUUGUCUUCCUUUCACAU